UUGGAGGGCAAGUCUGGUGCCAGCAGCCGCGGUAAUUCCAGCUCCAAUAGCGUAUAUUAAAGUUGUUGCAGUUAAAAAGCUCGUAGUUGAAUUUCGGGAUCAGAGUGUCGGUCGUGCCUCGGUACGCACUGGUAUUAUUGGUUCCUACCUUCUGAAGAACCGCGAUGUCAUUAAUUUGGUGUCGUGGGGAAUCAGGACUGUUACUUUGAAAAAAUUAGAGUGUUUAAAGCAGGCUUACGCUUGAAUACAUUAGCAUGGAAUAAUGAAAUAGGACGUUUAAUUCUAUUUUGUUGGUUUCUAGGAUUGACGUAAUGAUUAAUAGGGAUAGUUGGGGGCAUUAGUAUUCAAUUGUCAGAGGUGAAAUUCUUGGAUUUAUUGAAGACUAACUACUGCGAAAGCAUUUGCCAAGGAUGUUUUCAUUAAUCAAGAACGAAAGUUAGGGGAUCGAAGACGAUCAGAUACCGUCGUAGUCUUAACCAUAAACUAUGCCGACUAGGGAUCGGAUGAUGUUAAUUUUUUAAUGACUCAUUCGGCGCCUUACGGGAAACCAAAGUGUUUGGGUUC
rnacentral:rRNA from 1 species